ACUUCUUAAAGUUUAAAUCACCUAUUGUGGACCGACACUAACAGUCGACUUUGUGCUGUUGGGUGUAUCCAACCUGUUGUCCUAGCUUCUAAUUUAAGAAAGUGAUCAGCAACAUCUAGUUCUCAAAAGAGUGAGAUAGAAAAUGAAUUUUGUAAAGAUAAAUAUGAUAAAAAGAAAAAAGUAAAAAAAAGGAGUUCAAAAGGAAUUAGGUGAAUGGUGUUUUACGAGAAGAUGCUAGACGCAGGAAAGAAGCAAGGGAACAGCAACACAAAGAGAUGGAAUGCAUCAAGAUAAUACUGGAUAAGCUUUAUCAGCAAUAAUUAUUCAUUUUCUGGAAAGAACUUUGUACGAUUCUCUUGUAUAGACAUCCACAAAUCCGAAUUUUUAAAUAUUCUGGAAUUAUUCACAGAACCUGCGAAUCCCACAAAGCAAUCUGUGAACACGAGAUCUGCAUCGCAAAUAGCUUGUAAAGUAAGCAUAUAUUCGCAUUUCCUAGUUCUAUAUGAUUCAGCAUGAAGCUAGAUAGAUAAAAACAUAAAAAUAAGAUAAAUUAUUGUAAAACAACAAAAAAAUAAUUAAAACAGUAUAAAAAUAAAAUAGUUUUACAUGUGGAGCAAGGAUAGGUAUGUGCGAACCACCAAUAGCUCUUAUGACAUCUGGACACCAAUUCCACUAAAUCUAUUCUUCACAGAAUGUAAUUUAUUUCUUUGUAGCUACACAAUAACAUUAUCUGCUAUGUUAUUCAAAGCAUACACUAUUCUACGAAAAGAAUCAUGUAAAAUAGAUUUUCCCAUGUUGAAACGAUCUGCAAUAGAUAUAACACUAAUUUAAUUAUUGCGCAAAUUAUUACCAAAAUAAAAUCUAAUGUUUAGAUA